rnacentral:rRNA from 1 species
UACGAAGGUGGCAAGCGUUGUUCGGAUUUACUGGGCGUAAAGAGUGCGUAGGCGGUUUAACAAGUCAGGAGUGAAAGCCCAAGGCUCAACCUUGGAAUUGCUUUUGAAACUGUUUUACUUGAAUCCGGUAGAGGUUGGCGGAAUUCCCAGUGUAGAGGUGAAAUUCGCAGAUAUUGGGAGGAACACCAGUGGCGUAAGCGGCCAACUGGACCGGUUUUGACGCUGAGGCACGAAAGCAUGGGUAGCAAACAGG